GGCACAGAAAGACCUACGUGAAUCUUCCAGUGUAGCAUUGGAAACACUGCAUAGAUAAGGAAAAGGUUCCAAGGGAUUAAAUCAGUACUGCUGUUCUCAGUUGUUUCCAGAAGCUGCUUUUCAACCUAAUCUGAAACUCCCUCUGUGUGCACUUACACAAACCACAGCUUUGCGAGUUGUCUACAGAAACACUGCCAGGAACUGGAGCUGAUGAAGCAGGAUUAUUUUUUUCAGUUUCCAGUUGCACCUCAGCAGAGCUCAAGGCUGCAGAAACCUCUCCUGUCCUGAGACAG